rnacentral:rRNA from 1 species
GUGGGGAAUAUUGCGCAAUGGGCGGAAGCCUGACGCAGCGACGCCGCGUGGGGGAUGAAGGCCUUCGGGUUGUAAACCUCUUUCAGCACCGACGAAACCAGACGGUAGGUGCAGAAGAAGCGCCGGCUAACUACGUGCCAGCAGCCGCGGUAAUACGUAGGGCGCAAGCGUUGUCCGGAAUUAUUGGGCGUAAAGAGCUCGUAGGCGGCCUGUCGCGUCCGUCGUGAAAGCCCACGGCUCAACCGUGGGUUGGCGGUGGAUACGGGCAGGCUAGAGGCAGGUAGGGGAGAACGGAAUUCCCGGUGUAGCGGUGAAAUGCGCAGAUAUCGGGAGGAACACCGGUGGCGAAGGCGGUUCUCUGGGCCUGUUCUGACGCUGAGGAGCGAAAGCGUGGGGAGCGAA